rnacentral:rRNA from 1 species
GCAAGUCGAGCGCUCUCUUCGGAGGGAGCGGCGGACGGGUUAGUAACGCGUGGGAAUGUACCCUUCUCUAUGGAAUAGCCAUUGGAAACGAUGAGUAAUACCAUAUACGCCCUUCGGGGGAAAGAUUUAUCGGAGAAGGAUCAGCCCGCGUUAGAUUAGAUAGUUGGUGGGGUAAUGGCCUACCAAGUCUACGAUCCCUAGCUGGUCUGAGAGGAUGAUC